GGGGGGCAAUGGAGGUUGAGAAGUAACACAUGUGGCAUGCAUGGCAGGUGGGCAGUGAUGCCUGCUUCAGCCCUCCACAUGGUGGGUGAUGUGAGAAGCAUUCUUCUGAUGGUUAAAGGCUGUAGUAGACCCUGUGACGGGUGCUAGUAAUGAGGUGGAAAGGACUGGUCCUUUCCCUUUCGGGAUCUGACGUUUUAAGAGAUAAGGUACACAAUUACUCAGGCAACGCUGCCCACCUUACAGCACUGUUAAAAUUAUGGGGCUACCAACGCUCUUUGGAUGGGUGACCUAACCGGCUUUGAUUCCCAAAGGAUGCCACAUACCAAUUGGUCCAGAAUGAGAAGCAUACACCAGUCCUUGUGACAACUGAGAAGAUUACAGUCAAAUCACUUAGCUGUGAAUUCCUAAGAGGAGCCGGAGUCAGCACGCCUUCCUGAGAUGCUAAAUCAGGAAACUGCUGUUUGCAGGUUGGACUUGUCACAGUUGGAUCACCUCCCUUCAUUCCCUAAUUGUACACAACGUCUAUGCACUGAAACAUCUGAUACUGUAAAUCUUUGCUUUCAAAGAGAGAACAAUAUAAAGAGAAAUCAUGAAGAUUUGUACCCAACAACAUAUUGGCAGGAAAAUGCUGGCACUGUAAGUCACACCUUCGAGGACAGUGAUACCAAGCCACUUCCCCUGUGGGUAAUACUGCCCCAGUCCUCUCUUCAAAUACAGGCAUCACAUGGAAUUUCCUCAAGAAGAAAACUUUAGCAGUAUGACUAAUUGAUCACCCAUCAUGGUAUGCCAACAGUAUCGGAUCUGUAGCAGCAGUCUGUACAAGGGCCAGCCCUCAACAGUGUUGUAGAGCAGGCAGCUAGGCAAGUAGAUGUCUCCACAUUCCCAGCAAAACCAAAAUAAGAAAAAGUCUAGGCUUUUAGCAAAUGAUUUCUUAAUGAGCAAAAAUUUCAGAACACUGACUCCACUCUGGUCCUUUUCAGCUUAAGUUAUCAGAGCUCCAACGGGGCAGAUACACGACAUUAGCCAUGGAGUUCCCUAGAAGACACACACCCCUCCAGGAUCCUCUGUGCUCUAUCUGCCCAGAGUCGGGAAGUGGUGUAACUUGGGGGCCACUUCCACAUGGACGCAUGUCUAAGUCUUACAGUUGUGUAGCAUAGGAUGGUGAGUGAACAGAACUAAUGUGACCCUGAUAUUGGCAACUUCGAUGUGGAGACACAGACCUCAGGUACUGAAACCCUCAAUGAACCCAGGGACACAGCAGGAUACACAAAAGCAUGCAGUGCAGAUGUUUCGUUAUUAGUUAUGACCAUUACUGUCCCAACGCAGAGCACCUAUGAUCAUCAGCACGAAAUUUUCCAGCAUAUUCACACUCCCUUCAGAAGGAGGAGGGGAGGCUCAUGUAAGAACAAGCCUUCAGGACAUCCCUACAAGGACCCUUCUCUCCCCAAGAUUAUAUAGCAGAUGCCUAACCAGAGCCCUCGUCAUCUUGGCGGAACAACAGGGGUGAAAGCCUUAGAGAAAGAUCAGAAGACAAACUAAGAUCUAACCUCACCUCACCAUUGCCAAAAUUGAAACUGUGUAGCUGUCUUGCAGCACCUCUCUAUUCUCUUACAAAGUCAUUGGAGAGUAAACAAGCAUGAUUUCUUGAUGA